UGUUAAAAAUUUCAUCCAUUUUUGCUUUUAAAAAUUGGCAUAGCUGAUGGAAUAACCAGAUAAUUACAUAUGGUGAGCCACGUGUACCUCAUGCUAACAUACAAUGACCAGUUUUAAAAGCAAAAUUGGAUGAAAUUUUUAACA
rfam:Gossypium arboreum cultivar AKA8401 contig_1543_1, whole genome shotgun sequence.